rnacentral:tRNA from 1 species
GGCCGGUUAGCACAAUUGGUAGUGUGUCUGACUACGAAGGUCCUAGUGACCGAGAACAUCAGGAGGUUGCGGGUUCGAGCCCCGUGCUGGUCA